rnacentral:misc_RNA from 1 species
GGAAUCUUCCACAAUGGGCGCAAGCCUGAUGGAGCAACACCGCGUGAGUGAAGAAGGGUUUCGGCUCGUAAAGCUCUGUUGUUGGAGAAGAACGUGCGUGAGAGUAACUGUUCACGCAGUGACGGUAUCCAACCAGAAAGUCACGGCUAACUACGUGCCAGCAGCCGCGGUAAUACGUAGGUGGCAAGCGUUAUCCGGAUUUAUUGGGCGUAAAGCGAGCGCAGGCGGUUACUUAGGUCUGAUGUGAAAGCCUUCGGCUUAACCGAAGAAGUGCAUCGGAAACCGGGCGACUUGAGUGCAGAAGAGGACAGUGGAACUCCAUGUGUAGCGGUGGAAUGCGUAGAUAUAUGGAAGAACACCAGUGGCGAAGGCGGCUGUCUGGUCUGCAACUGACGCUGAGGCUCGAAAGCAUGGGUAGCGAACAGGA